rnacentral:rRNA from 1 species
UGAGGAAUAUUGGUCAAUGGGUGCAAGCCUGAACCAGCCAUCCCGCGUGAAGGACGACUGCCCUAUGGGUUGUAAACUUCUUUUGUAUAGGGAUAAACCUACCCUCGUGAGGGUAGCUGAAGGUACUAUACGAAUAAGCACCGGCUAACUCCGUGCCAGCAGCCGCGGUAAUACGGAGGGUGCAAGCGUUAUCCGGAUUUAUUGGGUUUAAAGGGUCCGUAGGCGGACUUAUAAGUCAGUGGUGAAAGCCUGUCGCUUAACGAUAGAACUGCCAUUGAUACUGUAAGUCUUGAGUAUAUUUGAGGUAGCUGGAAUAAGUAGUGUAGCGGUGAAAUGCAUAGACAUUACUUAGAACACCAAUUGCGAAGGCAGGUUACCAAGAUAUAACUGACGCUGAGGGACGAAAGCGUGGGGAGCGAACA